GCCGGCACCGGAACUUCCGCUGCCGAGGAGGCGCGGGCUCCCGGAGGAGGUCUGAGCCCGGCCUGGCGCCCCGCCCCCCGCGCCUUGGCGCCGAGCGGUCCCCCCACUCCCACCCCGGCUCCGCGGGUCCUCGCGGCCGCGCUCCGGCACUCUAGCUCGGGCAUGGGGGCUGCGCGAAAACCGACCGCUGAGAAACUCAUUGACUUCUCUCAAGUAUUAGGCAGAAGCAGCGCCUGGUUUUACAGCAACUGAAUCUCGUGCAAUUUCCUAGGUCCCCAUUGGGAAAAAGGGUGUCCAGGAGUCUUGGAACAGUUUUCUCCGGAGGGAAAACGCCCUUGGCUACGUCGUGUGCGUUCCCUGUGAUUGUGGUCUUGCGGGCACCACGCAUAGUUCUGCCUCUGUUUUGCUCGCUGCUUAUUUUUGACACCUUUUCCGAUGACAAUUAUGUAGUAAUAUUUUCCAUAAAGAAGAGAUGGAUCUUUUCCCUUGUAUGAUAAAACUUCUUUAAAUUGGUAACAUUACUGAGACUGACCUGUAGCUUUUUUGGAUUACUAUCAAAUUGGGACCCUGUCACCAACUAGCUGAGGAUUCUUUUCCUCAAUUCGGAUGGAAAUCAUGAUCCAUGAAGUGCGGCUUCC